rnacentral:rRNA from 1 species
GUACCUUGUGCAUCAUGGUUUUACAAGUAUCAAAUUAAUAAUAAUUCCCGAAUUCUAAGCGAGCUGCCCUAUCAUAGCUAAGAGCCCACUACUAGUUGUAGCAACAACUUUGGAAAAUGGUAGGGCAGGGGCUACAUACCAAACGCGCUAGAAAAUCUCUGGUUCUCAGUAAAAUUUAUAAAUAAAACAUGUAGUCAUUCUACACUGUAAAAUUAUAGAGGAUAAGCCCUAUAAUUAAAACUAGACGUUUCAAUUUACCCCAAUAGGCCUAAAAACAGCCAUUAAUAAUACCUUACCGUAAUAUCUUCUUAAUUAUUUACUAAGUCUGUUAAGAAAAACUGAAAUUUUCUGAUAAACUUUAAAUCUAAAAAUAUUCUGUAAAAAUAAGUAUUAAUCUAAUAACCUAAAUUAAAACUACCUAUCAAUCCAUAAUACCUAAUAUCUUAUAAAGGAACUCGGCAAACCCUCAUUUCGACUGUUUAACAAAAACAUUGCCCAAGUAAGAAAUUUGGGGUAACUCCUGCCCAGUGAUAGUUUCAACGGCCGCGGUAUCCUAACCGUGCAAAGGUAGCAUAAUCACUUGCCCAUUAAUUGUGGGCUAGAAUGAAAGGAUUAACGAAAUAAAAGCUGUCUCUAUAAGACCCCUAAAAAUUACCCUUUAACCGAAGAGUGUUAAAUAGCGUCGAAGGACAAGAAGACCCUAUAGAGCUUAAUUAAAAUAAAUACAUAAAAUUUACUAAAAUUCGGUUGGGGCGACCAGGGAAAUUACUAAUCAUCCCUAAGUAAAAGAUAAAUUAAUCUAACCAUUGACCCUUAAUCAAGAUCACUAAAACAAGCUACCUUAGGGAUAACAGGCUAAUCUUACUAGAGAGUUCUUAUCAAUAGUAGGGUUUGGCACCUCGAUGUUGGCUUAGGGAAUCUAUGUGGCGCAAAAGUCACAUAAAGAUGGUUUGUUCAACCAAUAACACCCUACAUGAGCUGAGUUCAGACCGGCGUAAGCCAGGUUAGUUUCUAUCCUCGAUCAUAUAUCUAUUUAUAGUACGAAAGGACCUAAUCAGAGUAAUAUUUACAUGGCUGGAAUAAAUAUAAAACAUUAUAAACAACAUAAAUCACACACUAUG